rnacentral:lncRNA from 1 species
AGGUCACUUCCGCAGCGGUGCCUCUGAGGUGGGAGCUGGUGGGUGAUGCUGGCUGGCGGAGGAGUGGCUCUAAUUGUAGCCAAAUUUGGGUUAAGGACGGUUGUGACAGUUGAAGAAACGGGGAGAAACAAGCCGGAGCCUAAGUCUCUGUGCUAUCAGUUAGGCUGGCUUUGGCUGCAAAUAAUAGCAUGCCAAACGAAAAUGGUCCGUAUCAGUUAUUGUUCUCAUUCUUGUAGCCGAAUACCGGACAGAAACAACAUAACUCCGUGUAGUCCCUGAGCAGCUCGCGGGAGCUGUCAAAAUGGCGCAAUCUGUCAAAAGUGUCUCAAGGGAAGGGCAUCCUAAGACACAGGAGCUCAGGAGCCACACAGCUCUGAGGUGGGACAGUGUCCCCUUGGAAAGGCACCCUGAGACUCGGAAACCCAGAAACCACAGAGCUCUGAGGGUCAGAAGGUAUUCCUGUGGAAGGACACCCUGAGACAUCAGAGCCGGGGAACCACACAGCUUUGAGAGGAAGCCUCGUCAGCUGAGGCAGUGCAGUUCCCAGGGGAGGGUAUCUCCAGCUCAGCCCAGGAGCUCAGGAGCCUCUGCCCCGCUCCACUUCUUUGUUUCUUCCCUUCCUCUGUCAAUUGCUUCUUGGCUUCUUCCAACGCGAAAGUCAUAUGAGGCAGCAAAUCUCGUAAAAGAUAUUUAUUGGAGAAGGAUGUUAUGGUGGGAAGAGAAAAGGGCAAGGGGUUAGAAGAGUUUUUAAAAGAAUAACAAAGAUUUCCUAAUAGAAAAUGUAAAGAACAGAAUUAUAUAAAUUUAAGAAUGGAAAUAAAACAUGGAAACAUAAUAGUUUAUUUAAACAGAAAAACAUCUACAAGGUAAAGUUAAAAUGCUAACAAAGGCCUGCUAGAAAGAAAAAAAAAAUCAUGAAGGAAA